ACAUUCUCCUGUCUCAGCCUACUGAGUAGCUGGGAUUAUAGGCAUGAACAACCGUGCCCAGCCGUGUCUUCUCUUUUACCUGGCAACCCUACUAGAGGCUUUCAGAGAUAAAAAUCUGUUGGAUGACGUGCAGCUUACCCUUUCAAAGUUCCUUAAGGACCCUGGGGAAUGCAGCCAUCUGGAAUUUGCUGUCAUGCUGUGAUUUCUGCAGUAGCUUUUGUCAGGCCUCUGAGCCCAAGCUAAGCCAU
rnacentral:lncRNA from 1 species